rnacentral:rRNA from 1 species
GAUGAACGCUGGCGGCGUGCCUAAUACAUGCAAGUCGAGCGAACAGACGAGGAGCUUGCUCCUCUGACGUUAGCGGCGGACGGGUGAGUAACACGUGGAUAACCUACUUAUAAGACUGGGAUAACUUCGGGAAACCGGAGCUAAUACCGGAUAAUAUAUUGAACCGCAUGGUUCAAUAGUGAAAGACGGUUUUGCCGUCACUUAUAGAUGGAUCCGCGCCGCAUUAGCUAGUUGGUAAGGUAACGGCUUACCAAGGCAACGAUGCGUAGCCGACCUGAGAGGGUGAUCGGCCACACUGGAACUGAGACACGGUCCAGACUCCUACGGGAGGCAGCAGUAGGGAAUCUUCCGCAAUGGGCGAAAGCCUGACGGAGCAACGCCGCGUGAGUGAUGAAGGUCUUCGGAUCGUAAAACUCUGUUAUUAGGGAAGAACAAAUGUGUAAGUAACUAUGCACGUCUUGACGGUACCUAAUCAGAAAGCCACGGCUAACUACGUG